rnacentral:rRNA from 1 species
GAACUUAAGCAUAUCAAUAAGCGGAGGAAAAGAAACUAACAAGGAUUCCCUUAGUAGCGGCGAGCGAAGCGGGAAGAGCUCAAAUUUGAAAGCUGGCGUCCUACGGGCGUCCGCAUUGUAAUCUAUAGAGGCGUUUUCUGUGCUGGACCGUGUCCAAGUCCCUUGGAACAGGGUAUCAAAGAGGGUGACAAUCCCGUACUUGACACGACAACCAGUGCUCUGUGAUACGUCUUCUACGAGUCGAGUUGUUUGGGAAUGCAGCUCAAAAUGGGUGGUGAAUUCCAUCUAAAGCUAAAUAUUGGCGAGAGACCGAUAGCGAACAAGUACCGUGAGGGAAGGAUGAAAAGCACUUUGGAAAGAGAGUUAAACAGUAUGUGAAAUUGUUGAAAGGGAAACGAUGGAGGUCAGUCGUGUCUGUGGGAUUCAGCCGUCUCUGGCGGUGUACUUCCCACAGACGGGUCAACAUCAGUUUUGGCUGGCGGAUAAAGGCAGGAGGAAGGUGGCACCCCCGGGUGUGUUAUAGCCUCUUGUUGCAUACGCUGGCUGAGACUGAGGAAUGCAGCUCGCCUUUAUGGCCGGGGUUCGCCCACGUUCGAGCUUAGGAUGUUGACAUAAUGGCCUUCAACGACCCGUCUUGAAACACGGACCAAGGAGUCUAACAUAUCUGCGGGUGUUUGGGUGUCAAACCCAAGCGCGCAAUGAAAGUGAAUGCAGGAGGGAUCCGCAAGGAGCACCUUCGACCGAUCUGGAUCUUCUGUGAUGGAUUUGAGUAAGAGCAUAUAUGCUGGGACCCGAAA